AUUGAACGCUGGCGGCAUGCCUUACACAUGCAAGUCGAACGGUAACAGGUCUUUCGGGAUGCUGACGAGUGGCGAACGGGUGAGUAAUACAUCGGAACGUGCCUAGUAGUGGGGGAUAACUACUCGAAAGAGUGGCUAAUACCGCAUGAGAUCUAGGGAUGAAAGCAGGGGACCUUCGGGCCUUGUGCUACUAGAGCGGCCGAGGGCAGAUUAGGUAGUUGGUGGGAUAAAAGCUUACCAAGCCUACGAUCUGUAGCUGGUCUGAGAGGACGAUCAGCCACACUGGGACUGAGACACGGCCCAGACUCCUACGGGAGGCAGCAGUGGGGAAUUUUGGACAAUGGGCGCAAGCCUGAUCCAGCAAUGCCGCGUGCAGGAUGAAGGCCUUCGGGUUGUAAACUGCUUUUGUACGGAACGAAAAGUCUUGGGUUAAUACCCUGGGAUCAUGACGGUACCGUAAGAAUAAGCACCGGCUAACUACGUGCCAGCCGCCGCAGUAA
rnacentral:rRNA from 1 species